UACGUAGGGUGCAAGCGUUGUCCGGAAUUAUUGGGCGUAAAGAGCUCGUAGGCGGUCUGUCGCGUCUGCUGUGAAAACUCAGGGCUUAACCCUGAGCUUGCAGUGGGUACGGGCAGACUAGAGUGCGGUAGGGGAGACUGGAAUUCCUGGUGUAGCGGUGAAAUGCGCAGAUAUCAGGAGGAACACCGGUGGCGAAGGCGGCUCACUGGCUCGUUUCUGACGCUCAGGCGCGAC
rnacentral:rRNA from 1 species